UACGUAGGGGGCAAGCGUUGUCCGGAAUCAUUGGGCGUAAAGCGCGUGUAGGCGGCCCGAUAAGUCCGCUGUGAAAGUCCAGGGCUCAACCCUGGGAUGCCGGUGGAUACUGUCGGGCUCGAGUCCGGAAGAGGAGUGUGGAAUUCCUGGUGUAGAGGUGAAAUUCGUAGAUAUUGGGAAGAACACCGGUGGCGAAGGCGGCGACCUGGUCCGAUACUGACGCUGAGGCGCGAAAGCGUGGGGAGCAAACAGG
rnacentral:rRNA from 1 species